GCAGUGCCGCGCUCCGUGUAUUUGACAAGCUGAGUUUGACACUCAAUGUGGCAGAGUGUCAGUUUGUCAAAUACCCCAAGUGAGGCAUUUGCUU
rnacentral:pre_miRNA from 1 species